rnacentral:tRNA from 1 species
AUGGUCUAGCGGUUAAGAUACCAGGUUUUCACCCUGGCGGGCCGGGUUCAAUCCCCGAUAACCC